UAAAUGAUCAUUGGGCUGCAUUUGUCCUUAGCUAAUUUAUCCUCGGCCUAGAGAGAAAGUUUCUGCCUUUUUUUUUUUUUUUUAAGAGGAAAGCUGGAAAGGUGCUUCAGGCCUAAUAUCUUUGCUUGGUCUCUUUUUUGGGCACUGGGCCCUGUAUUUUCCAUCUGGCAAUGCCGUGUGGGGCUUGUUCCAGGCGCUCUACGGGCCUCGUGCCGCCUGUGCUGGCCGGAGCCAGCGUGGCGAUCAGAUGUCUGGGUGUGCCUGGCACGACCCCACCUCACUGCUCCCCUGAGCUGUCUUUCCCCUGCAGAGGGGCCAAGGAGCACCCCUGGGAGGCCGUGAGUGUCAGCAAGAAAGGCACGGCAGGGCGGGGACAGGGCAGGGUGAGCAGGACUCCAGGGCGUGGUGGCCGCGAGUCCCAGCUCUCAGAGGAACAGGCCUUGAAGAUGCAGGGAGGUUUGCACCGACAAAAGCCUCGGCAUCUCUCUUUAUUUUUACCUUACAUGCACCGCCACUACGGCUUCCUGCUGUAGCCUCUCCCCACCCGAGAGGCAUUCCCAGCCCCCAGGACCACAGAGAGGGGCAGGGGUCUUCAGUGUGGCUAAGGGCCACCGCCUGCAGCACCUGGGAUGGAGCUGCCAACUACCCCCAUCCUCAGAGCUGAAGUCUCCUAGCGUUUGGGCCUUGACUUUCUUAAUGCGAGAUACAGCUCAAAGCUUGCGGUGACAUUUCUGUCUUCGGGUGCUAAAACUGCAUUUCCUUCUUGAGUUCCAUGUUUCAGGGAGAGAAUCAUGAAGAAACAGAAUAAAGGACUUUGUUGCAAGCUGCAGUCAUAAAGAAGGACAUGUGGGUGAGGCUGGGAGCCCGGGGAGCCUGGUGUCAGCUCCAAUCCGAGCAGCGGGGCCAGCAGGAAGACCCGGCCUCUGUGAGUGUGUGGGGUGCUUUGGAGAUGGGGGUGUGUUUAGACUUUGUCGCUUACAUGUUAUUCCCAUAGCAGGCUCUGCACCAGUCCCGGCACUGCCUGCGGCAUCUGAUUCUGCCAGUGCUGCCCACUUAGCUUUUGGGUACAUGGAAGUUCUGCAUCGUGGUUCCUGCUGAAGAAGGGAGUGUGUGGCUGUGUAUGUGUGUGUGCACAGGCAUGCACACACCUGUGUUUACGUGAACACAUAUGAGCAAGUGCAUGUGUAUAUGCAUGAACACGUGUGUGCACUGAGGUACAUGCAUGUGUGCAUUCGCCUACAUGUACAUGUGUGUGUGCACGUGGUACACAUGUGCGAUUGGCAAGCGUGUGCACACAUAUGUAUAUGGGCACAUGUAUAUGCAGGCAUGUAUGCACGUUUGGGCACAUAUAUGUACAGGCAUGUAUGCACACGUGGGUGUGCAUGUAUAUUAUAUGAGCACACGUGUGCGUCCACUUACAGGCAUGUGUGCAUGUAUGUGUGUUUGGCGUGUGCGUAUUUGUUACGUAUAUGUGGCCACACACGGAUACAGGUAUGUGUACACAUGUGCACGCAUGCUUGCCCAGAUACAGACCUGCACGCCUCCCUGCCCUCCAUCCCGCCUUUGGGGUCUCCAUCACCGCUGCUUGUUGAUACGUCUUGAAAAGGUCCAGGCUGGCGGGCAUGUCCUGCUGCCCAGGUGGGCAGGAGUGGGAACAGCAUAUCUGGGCCUUCUCCAGGUUUCCUCUGUCAGCCCGGAGGAGGGCAAUCACGACGCAAUUUCUUACAAUAAUGAUACCUCACAUUGCAUAAUCGUUCAUGUCCUUCAAAAUAUUGAAAAUCGUAGCACAGAAAGUUUGAAGGGUUCCACAGCAACUCAGCACCACGAAGUCAGCCACGGCCCCACACGUCGACGGCUCAGUUGGGUGACAUGGCCGGCCCCGGGGACGCCUCUUUCUGCUGACGUUCAUCCACAUCCACAUCCAGAGCUUCUCGGUGUCCAGGAGAUGCUGCCAGCUCCUGGCCCCAGGAUGGGUGUGAGGCUGUGGCCCCGGGGUGAAAAGCUACAUCUCCCACGGCAGAUAGCCACCAUCACGGCUGUUAGAUGCCUGCGGACCGGACAAUGCAUCUAAAGGAAAACGGACCCAGGCGGGAAGACCAGCGGCCGCCCGAGUGUUGGCAGAAGCAGGCCCGUUGCUGAAUCGUGAUGUUUGUAGAAAUCGCUGUUUUAGCCACUGUUGGCUCCUCUCAAACUCCUGACCGACCCCAAGAGCUGCCGGGAAGCCCCUUCCCCUGCGACUCCUCAGGGACACGGGCUCCGGCUGCAGCCUCAAGUGACCCCUUUGCAGGAGUCCAAGAAAAGAGAAGCUGCUUCUGUGGAUUUCUGUCCUAGAUGAAGCCACAGCGGCAGGAAGUGGUAGCUGGCUGCUCCCAGGGUCUGUUUGGCUGGGACAAGAGGUCUCAAAGCUGUCCCUGGGAAGGAGCUUAGGCGGUGCUGAGCUGAUGUUCAGGGGGGCGGAGGGAGAGACAGGGAAAAAGCUUAGGCAGUGCUGAGCUGAUUUUCGGGGGGGCAGAGGGAGAGACAGGGCCGGAGACACGGGGAACACGGUCCAGAGGCAGCGGGGAGCAGUGGGAGGGAGAGCCAGAUCCUUUGCGACACUGGCUGUGGGCUGGGACAACGGGGAGGGUGAGGCAGUCCCAGCUCUCAGGGCCUCUGGCCCAGGAUGGGGUGUGAGAUGGCCAAGCUGCCGUGGGGCCGCCCAGGAGGAGGAGAAGCAAACCCAUCGGGGAGGGCUCACGGGCCUGGUGGUAUCUGCAGAGGCUCCUGAAGGGUGUGUGAGAGUGUCCAGGAAGGGUGCUUGGAGGGAGCCCUGGGCGAGUGGCCGGCACGAACAAAGGCCUAGGGUGCCCAGAGCCCUGUGUGGGUCGGAGCUGGGUCUUUCCAGGUCAGGGUUAAGGUUCGGGCUGUGUCUCUUUUCCACAGCCCUUGAGAGCGUAAGAUUUCCGCAAAUGUAGCUUGCAUGGUUUCUGACAGUCAGAAAUAAUCCACAUGGUAGGCUUUCUGUAAUCCUGUACUUUAAAAUUGGCAUCACAGACCAGUGCCCCUGCAGAGAGCAGCCUGGGCCUCCAAAUGGAGGAGCCUGCUGGGGAAUGAGCUGUCUCGGGGGUCCACACUGGAGGAGCCACACCCAGGCUGGAAAGCCUCUAUGCAUAGCGGGCCCCGGAGCCGCAGGUCCCUGGUGCAGGGGGUGGAGGUCAGGCAGGCCCUGGGCAGCCAACUGCUGCCCGAAGCCCACCCUGAGGAGGGAGGGAGGCAGAAGAGGAGGCAGGACAGAUCCCUUGGGGGAGGCAAAGCCACUUCCCCAGACCCAGCAGUGCCCAUAUCUGGGGGACCCCAGGAAGGGCCGGCACUUCGUGGACACCCCUCCGGCCAGGCCCUUGGUUCCAAGUUCACACCGGCUCCCUGUGGAAUGGUCUGACGGACAGGAGUCUGACCUGGAGAAUCCAUGCCUCUCACACAUGGAGCUGGGCAACAGCUGGGACCUGCCCCGCUCAGCCUCAGGCUCCCCGGAGGCUCCCCUGCCACAAGAGGGGCUGUCCCGGGUGCUUCGAGUGGAGUGAGCUAGAGGGAGUGGGACAGUAGGGCCGCCUGGGAGAGCCGGCCUUGCCCACCACCUGGCCGGAGCUGGACUGACGUCGGCUGGCUCCAAGUCCAGGAGGACACUCAUGAACUCUGAGCUACUCAGAGGGUACGAGUCCUGCUGCAACACAGUGGUCUUUACAAAGUGUGAAUGAACUGAAACUUCAUAAA